rnacentral:lncRNA from 1 species
GCCUCCUAGGAGGCGGGUGGGCAAACGGAGACCUACGCCUCGGGGUCUCCCGGUGCCCCGGCUGGGUCCCGCCCGCCGGCGGAGGGGCGCGUCCUCACUCACCGGUUCCGGUGGCGCCGCUCUCCCGGGGCGCCCAGCACAGCGCGAGCAGCAGCCAGAGCGCCCAGAGCGCGGACGUGCCCAUGGUGCCCGCCUGGAUGGUGCCGCCGCCGCCGCCGCCGCCGCCGUUCGCUCCGCACGACAAGUUACCAGUCCUUCCGAAAGGAGGAAGAAGGCUCCAAGCUUGAUAUAGAAGACUAUCAUAUGAACCAGAAAGGGUAACUGAAACCAAAGAAAUGACUCCAGUAUCAAGCUAAAGACAUGCCUUAAAGGAUGAGGAGGAGCAGAAAUCUUACCAGCAAGGCAAGAAAGAAGCCGUACGUGAACAGCCUCUGCUUUAGGCCCAGAAGGAAAAGAAGCUUACAGGAGACAAUCAGUCUUACACUCUUCCAUGGUCACAAACAAGAGGUCCCUGGAUCUACAGGUCAUCUUGCCCCUGAAAUGGCCCUGGAAAGCUAUGGCUGAAGAAUGGAGGAAAAGAUGACUUUCUCUGUUUCUUCAGACCAGGCAUCAACUGGGAUGUUGGGAUGUUGAUAAAAGGACAUCUCAUCCUUUGUUUUCUGCCUAUGCUUUCACCAUACCCAUUCCCAUGUCUGGUCAUCACAGCAUCCUUCACAGCCCUUAGCUGAAUCAUGUUGAGUACAGGAUGGUGUGAAUAUCAUGGUUUGAAUGCAACCAUGGUCUGUCAGUGUGGCUUGUUUUUUGCAGCCCACUUAGACUUAAGCCCUCUUAAUUUCAAAAUUACGUUCAUAUGUGCCAAUAAAGUUGUCCCUACAUGAACUGAAAAAAAAAAAAAAAAAAAAAAAAAAAAAAAAAAAAAAAAAAAAAA